GCCUGCGUUUCAUUAGCUAGUUGGUGGGGUAACGGCCCUACCAAGGCAACGAUGGGUAGCCGAUCUGAGAGGAUGAUCGGCCACACUGGAACUGAAACACGGUCCAGACUCCUACGGGAGGCAGCAGUGGGGAAUAUUGCGCAAUGGGCGAAAGCCUGACGCAGCGACGCCGCGUGAGGGAUGAAGGUCUUCGGAUCGUAAACCUCUGUCAGAAGGGAAGAAACUAGGGUGCUCUAAUCAUCAUCCUACUGACGGUACCUUCAAAGGAAGCACCGGCUAACUCCGUGCCAGCAGCCGCGGUAAUACGGAGGGUGCAAGCGUUAAUCGGAAUCACUGGGCGUAAAGCGCACGUAGGCUGUUAUGUAAGUCAGGGGUGAAAUCCCACGGCUCAACCGUGGAACUGCCCUUGAUACUGCACGACUUGAAUCCGGGAGAGGGUGGCGGAAUUCCAGGUGUAGGAGUGAAAUCCGUAGAUAUCUGGAGGAACAUCAGUGGCGAAGGCGGCCACCUGGACCGGUAUUGACGCUGAGGUGCGAAAGAGUGGGGAGCAAACAGGAUUAGAUACCCUGGUAG
rnacentral:rRNA from 1 species